AGAUGAAUGUAUUUUACCUUGUUAACAAUUAACACGGAAAAAUAAAUAAAUAGUUACCAGGGUAGCAAAAAUCUCGCAAGUAAAGAUGUUGUGACUCCUUGUUUAUGAAGGUAGAAACUUCGUGAUUACAAAAAAUCUCAAAAGUA